rnacentral:rRNA from 1 species
CGAUAAUGUAGCGGGGCUUAAGUUAUCCGCCGAAGCUGUGGCAACCUGUGUGGUUGGGUAGGGGAGCGUCGUGUCAGUGGUGAAGCUGCCGGGUGACUGUGUGGUGGAGUUGAUGCGAGUGAGAAUGCAGGCAUGAGUAGCGUGUGACGGGUGGGAAUCCCGUCCGCCGAUUAUCCAAGGGUUCCAGGGUCAAGUUUGUCUGCCCUGGGUGAGUCGGGUCCUAAGGCGAGGCCGAC